CCUCACAGCCAUGGAAAACCAGGGCCCGGCACCCCUUCUGUGUCUCUGCACCUCCCCGGGUUUGCCUGUGGACAUCUCUGUGUCCAGAGCAAGGCCAUUCAAGGUGAUGCCAACACUGGCCUCCGCUGCACCCCUCCCUGCUGUCAUUCCCGCAGGCCAGCAGUUCCCAGGCAGGAUCAGCACCUGUCACUCUGUCAAGACUGAUUAGGGCGCACACCUGUAAUUAGACCUAAUGGGGGUAAUUUCCAGGCCAGGCAGGCUGGCUCCUCUGGCAGGAGAUUCGUGGCAGGCGGAAUGUCGUCGUCGUCGUUGGCUGUAGACCCCUACCUACCCUACGAGUACACCUGCGAGGGGAUGCUGGAGCGGAUCCACGCCUACAUCCAGCACCAGGACUUCUGCAUAGCUCCAGGCCCUGCCCUACCAGAGGCCCACGCCCCGCAGAGCCCCUUUGUCCUGGCCCCCAAUGCCACCCACCUCGAGUGGGCUCGGAACACCAGCUUGGCUCCUGGGGCCUGGCCCCCCGCGCACGCCCUGCGGGCCUGGCUGGCCGUGCCUGGGAGGGCCUGCACCGACACCUGCCUGGACCACGGGCUGAUCUGUGAGCCCUCCUUCUUCCCCUUCCUGAACAGCCAGGAUGCCUUCCUCAAGCUGCAGGUACCCUGUGACAGCACCGAGUCGGAGAUGAACCACCUGUACCCGGCCUUCGCCCAGCCUGGCCAGGAGUGCUACCUGCAGAAGGAGCCUCUGCUCUUCAGCUGCGCCGGCUCCAACACCAAGUACCGCCGGCUCUGCCCCUGCCGCGACUUCCGCAAGGGCCAGGUGGCCUUGUGCCAGGGCUGUCUGUGAGUCCGCCUCUGCCGCCCUGCCUGGCACCCACGCUGGCUCUCUCCUGCCGCAGGAGAAA
rnacentral:sRNA from 1 species